rnacentral:rRNA from 1 species
UACGGAGGGUGCAAGCGUUAUCCGGAUUCACUGGGUUUAAAGGGUGCGUAGGCGGGCAGGUAAGUCAGUGCUGAAAUAUCCCAGCUUAACUGGGAGGGUGGCAUUGAUACUGAUUGACUUGAGUGGAGUUGAGGUAGGCGGAAUUGACGGUGUAGCGGUGAAAUGCUUAGAUAUCGUCAAGAACACCGAUAGCGAAGGCAGCUUACCAAGCUCUAACUGACACUGAUGCACGAAAGUGUGGGGAUCAAACAGG